AGAGUUUGAUCCUGGCUCAGGAUGAACGCUGGCGGCGUGCCUAAUACAUGCAAGUCGAACGCGGGCACUUGUGCCCGAGUGGCGAACGGGUGAGUAAUACAUAAGUAACCUGGCCUUUACAGGGGGAUAACUGCUGGAAACGGCAGCUAAGACCGCAUAGGUAGGGACACUGCAUGGUGACCGUAUUAAAAGUGCUGCAAGGCACUGGUAGAGGAUGGACUUAUGGCGCAUUAGCUGGUUGGUGAGGUAACGGCUCACCAAGGCGACGAUGCGUAGCCGACCUGAGAGGGUGACCGGCCACACUGGGACUGAGACACGGCCCAGACUCCUACGGGAGGCAGCAGUAGGGAAUUUUCGGCAAUGGGGGGAACCCUGACCGAGCAACGCCGCGUGAAGGAAGAAGGAAUUCGUUCUGUAAACUUCUGUUAUAAAGGAAGAAAGACGGAUGGAGGAAAUGACAUCCGAGUGACGGUACUUUAUGAGAAAGCCACGGCUAACUACGUGCCAGCAGCCGCGGUAAUACGUAGGUGGCAAGCGUUAUCCGGAAUUAUUGGGCGUAAAGAGGGAGCAGGCGGCAGCAAAGGUCUGUGGUGAAAGACUGAAGCUUAACUUCAGUAAGCCAUAGAAACCGGGCAGCUAGAGUGCAGGAGAGGAUCGUGGAAUUCCAUGUGUAGCGGUGAAAUGCGUAGAUAUAUGGAGGAACACCAGUGGCGAAAGCGACGAUCUGGCCUGCAACUGACGCUCAGUCCCGAAAGCGUGGGGAGCAAAUAGGAUUAGAUACCCUAGUAGUCCACGCCGUAAACGAUGAGUACUAAGUGUUGGAAGUCAAAUUUCAGUGCUGCAGUUAACGCAGUAAGUACUCCGCCUGAGUAGUACGUUCGCAAGAAUGAAACUCAAAGGAAUUGACGGGGGCCCGCACAAGCGGUGGAGCAUGUGGUUUAAUUCGAGGCAACGCGAAGAACCUUACCAGGUCUUGACAUACUCAUAAAGGAUCCAGAGAUGGAUAGAUAGUUAUAUGAGAUACAGGUGGUGCAUGGUUGUCGUCAGCUCGUGUCGUGAGAUGUUGGGUUAAGUCCCGCAACGAGCGCAACCCU
rnacentral:rRNA from 1 species